AAAGAUAAUAAGUCAGAUCGGGAUAAACGUGAGAAAUCGUAUGAGAGAGAAGGGAGUAGGGAAAUGCAGACGGAGCCACCUUUCUUCUCCAACACGUUGAUGACCUGGAGUCGACUCCAAUUUUCGAUGAGUUGCCCACGGCCAAAAUCGUGUCCGUUUCUCGGCCUGACGCUACCGAUAUUAGUCCAGCACUCCUUUCUUACACCAUCGAGUUCCAAUACAAAUAGUUGCAUAAGAAAGCUGCACAAGUGUUUUAUUUACAUUUCGCUUUGAAGAGGCGAACAUUUAUAGAGGAAGUUCAGGAGAAACAGGAACAGUUAGAAAAAUUAAAGCAUUCUUGUAGUGUAUGUAAGAGGAUUGGGCAUGAUUUGAAGAGAAAGUGAACGAGAUCAAGGCAACAGUUAAGUUCCAAUUGAAAAAGGUUCUGUGCAUGGGUGUUGCUGUUGGGAACCUAAGCAUGGAAGAGAAGCAGUUGUUCCAAAAUGUGCAAAUGAACUAACUUUCUCGUUUCACUGUUGAAGAAGAAUUGGCA